UACGUAGGGUGCAAGCGUUAAUCGGAAUUACUGGGCGUAAAGCGUGCGCAGGCGGUUCUAUAAGACAGAUGUGAAAUCCCCGGGCUCAACCUGGGAACUGCAUUUGUGACUGUAGAGCUGGAGUACGGCAGAGGGGGGUAGAAUUCCACGUGUAGCAGUGAAAUGCGUAGAGAUGUGGAGGAACACCGAUGGCGAAGGCAGCCCCCUGGGUCAAGAUUGACGCUCAUGCACGAAAGCGUGGGGAGCAAACAGG
rnacentral:rRNA from 1 species